rnacentral:rRNA from 1 species
AACGAACGCUGGCGGCAGGCUUAACACAUGCAAGUCGAACGCCCCGCAAGGGGAGUGGCAGACGGGUGAGUAACGCGUGGGAAUCUACCCAUCUCUGCGGAAUAGCUCUGGGAAACUGGAAUUAAUACCGCAUACGCCCUACGGGGGAAAGAUUUAUCGGGGAUGGAUGAGCCCGCGUUGGAUUAGCUAGUUGGUGGGGUAAAGGCCUACCAAGGCGACGAUCCAUAGCUGGUCUGAGAGGAUGAUCAGCCACAUUGGGACUGAGACACGGCCCAAACUCCUACGGGAGGCAGCAGUGGGGAAUAUUGGACAAUGGGCGCAAGCCUGAUCCAGCCAUGCCGCGUGAGUGAUGAAGGCCUUAGGGUUGUAAAGCUCUUUCACCGAUGAAGAUA